GCUCUCCCCGCCUCCGGGAGGUGGGGGCUGGGAGCCAUCCUCGUCUCCGCCCCCUCCCCACCGCGCACUGAGAGAUGAACUGGCAAGAGGUCUGUUUGCCUGGACCCAUCAACAGCUGGGAGACUAAUCAACCACACUGAAAAUGUUUACGGGAUUGUGGGGGAGGGGUUGGAAUGUAGAUGUUUGAAACAAAUGUGUAUAAAUAAAUGAAUUGUUGAUAACUUAGUUAUUGACCUGAAGACUGGUAGCUUGUUAAAGAAACUCCAUGUUUCUCCUUCCUGGAGUUGGGGUUUCUGUAGGCACUUUAUUUCUCCACUUUCAAAGGCUUGGGCUUGGCCCAACUCUGAGGCUGCCCAAUCCCGCUUCUAUUACCAAUUUAAAUCUAUGGCUUGAACCUCUACACUAAAAAA